rnacentral:lncRNA from 1 species
GGUAAUCAGUCAUCGGCCCAUGGCGGUUGAUGUAUGAUGUUUAGUAGUCUCUCCUUUGCUCUCCAGGCACAACAUCAGUUAUGAGAGACUAACUUAACAGCAAUUAAUCACAGCCCAUUGACUCAGUGACUCAGACACACACAUGUAAAGACCAUUUUUCGUGCCUAUCAAGGGUUGCCAAAAUGUAGAUAUCAGGUAAAUGUCGCUGUAGAAUUUAGAUUGGAAGACUUUAUCAUGAGGCUAAAAUGUGAGGAUCUGUUAAUCUAAGAGGAUUCUAUGACACAGUGAAAUGGAGUACAGAUAAAGUAACUCCUGCAGCAAACAGUCCUAGCUUCAGUGUGAUAAACACAUUCACAGACAAAGACACUGUAUAAAGUUUGGUAGAAAACUCCAAUUAAAUUUAACUUGAACCUGAGCUGAACCUCAGUCUGCACCUGCCACACACUCGAUGGAGCGAGGCUGGCUCCAGCUGGAUUUUAAAUUGACACACACUUCUCUAGCUCUCCAUCUACUGCUCUUUUUGUAUUCCGUUAAUUCCAUCUGCCGUUAAGUUUACUUUCUUCCUUGCCCCCCUUCUGCUUGUGUUCUUUGGUUUCUUUCUUAUGCCUCCCUGUGUCCCUGUAAUUGGUCCUUUAAAUGGAAAAAGCCCUAAAUUGGAGGAUUAGGCGUGCCUGUCUCGCGCCCCCUCGCUGUCCCUGUGUGUGUGUAUCUGUCUGUGUGUAGGAGACGUUCCCGUGGCGUUAUGGCAUACAAUCUCCAAGGGAUAUGCUUAACAACAAAAGCAUCUGGAAGAGGGCCUCUUUUGCACUCUGUUACUGUGGUUACAGGCUUCACUGGGUUUGAAUCCUGUUACCUUCAUCUCUCGUUUGAGAGCUCAACAGUAAUGGCCUCUGAUUUACAAAGCCCUGCAAACCAUAUGGUGACGCUUUAAUUUAACAGGACAAGUCACAUCAGGCCUUCUGAAGAUUCGCCUCCAGCAGCAGGGGUCUCUCAAAUUGGAAAUUGGAGGUAAAAUAAAUCUAAGAUUGCUUCCCUCCCUGCA